GUUUAUGGCCAUACUACCCUAAACAAUCCUGAUUCCAUCUGAUCUCGGAAGCUAAGCAGAGUCAGCCUGGCUAGUACGUGAAUGGGAGACCACCUAGGAAGACCAGUGUGCUGUAGGCG
rnacentral:rRNA from 1 species